CGGCUAACUCCGUGCCGGCGUCGGUGUUGAUACGGGGUGGGCAAGCGGUUGUCGGAAUGACGUGUGGUAAAGGGCGCGUAUGGGGCCAACGAAGGCAUACGUGAAAUCCCCAGGCUUAACUUGGGAACUGCGUCUGAUACUGGAUGUCUUGAAUUCGGGAGAGGGAUGCAGAAUUCCAGGUGUAGCGGUGAAAUGCGUAGAUAUCUGGAGGAAUACCGGUGGCGAAGGCGGCAUCCUGGACCGAUAUUGACACUGAUGAGCGAAAGCUAGGGGAGCAAACGGGAUUAGAUACCCGAGAGUC
rnacentral:rRNA from 1 species